rnacentral:tRNA from 1 species
UGCGGAAUGGUGUAAUGGUAGCACCGCAGUCUCUGAAUCUGCUUGUUGGGGUUCGAGUCCCUAUUCCGCAGCCA